rnacentral:lncRNA from 1 species
GAUUCGUCUGAGCUGAUUACGGUGGGAGACCCCCCCCAUGCGGCUAAUGUCACCACCUCCAGUUCAGAAAAUGCUUCUCAGACGGGUGGCACACGCCUGUCACCCCGCACUCCAGGAGGCUGAGGCAGGAGGACCCCUGCGGAGGCUAGCCCAGCUUGAGUAACUGAGCGACUUAGCAAGCCCAUGUGUCCAAAUAAAAAAAUAAAAAGGGCUCAGGGCAGAGCUCGGCGCAAAGGCCCUGGGUGCCGUCCCAGUGCCACAAAAAUAAAAACGUAAUAAAUAAGCAAGUGUGAAAAUGCAUCCUGCAGCGGGGAUCUUUACGCAGACCAGCGGCUCACACACGAUGACGUGUUUUAGUAUCUCCGGAGUGCCCGGGCUUCCCCAGUACAGGAAGGAGAAAGAACGGAACCACGAGGUAAAGGAAAGGAAAUCANNNNNNNNNNNNNNNNNNNNNNNNNNNNNNNNNNNNNNNNNNNNNNNNNNNNNNNNNNNNNNNNNNNNNNNNNNNNNNNNUUGAUCCACCGGGUGGAGGUGGAACAGACGGGCAGGGAGCUCAUAACGGGGUUCAGGGUGUGCAGGAGCCAGGCUGGACCCCCAGGCUCCGCAUCCGCCCUUUAGUUCUCGGGACUCCCACGCCAGGCCGGGGGUUCCUGGCCUCCAGGGGUCUCCAAGCCCGGGCCCCCGCAGGGACCCCAAAUCCCAGCCUGGGACCCCAAAACUGUGACUGCAGCCCUGUCUCAGGAAGAAAGCCGGUCUGUGAUUUCGGGGUGGGGGGGCGGGUUAAUCAUUUCCGAGCAGGCAGACGGCGAGGAAGAAGACCCCAGGACGCGGGGCUCCCGGUGCGGCCUCCCCGGCAAAAUGCAAACUCGGGCAAUUUCUCCUCCGAGACCAAGCGACCCUUUGUUGUUGUUGUUUUUCCCCCUGAAGUUCGCCAACAGGAGCACGAUUUCUGCAAAACCCGAAGUGCAAACAAAGAGCUAAAAACAGACAGACAACAGGACAGAGAAAGCUAAAAAAGCCUGGCCCGGGGCUGCACGCGGGCCUGAAAGCGAAGCACUCUGGGAGGCUGAGGCCGGAGAGUCGAACACAAGUCCCCAACCUGGGCGACUGAGCCGUUUAGCCGGAUCUGCUCUCAGAAUAAACAAAAAGAGGCUGGAGACAUAGCGCACCGCGCGAGCCCUGGGUUCAACCCUGAGUACUACAAAAACGAACAAAAAUAAACAGAAACUGAAAGACGCUGUGGAAAGAAACAAGAAAAAAUCAUUCUGCUCUCUGCGGGACGUGCGGGGAAGGAGCAGGGGGGUUCCCCGUCCUCGGACUUUUCCGGUGUUUACCCAAUUAUCUAUGGCAACGGCGGGAAAGCUCGAUCCCCUCCCCCCACCCCGAGCGCGCCCGGGACUGCGCGCUACAAAGUAUCUUUCCAGAUACAAAGUAUCUUUGCACGUACAAAGUAUCUUUCGCGCUCCGCAGGCCUUGCAGUUUCCCAGCCUUCCAGCCCCGGCGAGCUACAAAGUAUCUUUCUCGGCCGCGCAGGCCUGGAAGUUUCCCCAGGGAUCCCACCCCUUCAGCUUAGGCCUUUAACCCCCCGGGGACGACUCCAAAUUUAGGCCCGAGACUCAGGGCGUGGCUCGGGGCCCCGGGCGCCCCGGGCAACAAUGGCGCGCGGGUCCCCAAACCCAGCCUGGGGAGCGCGCCAGAGUUGGCGGCGACGGAAAACGGGUCCGAGAGAGGAGGGGAUCGGAGGCCGGCGCCGAGCCCAGAGCUCCCCCAGAAGGGCUUGGAGCGCAGGAAAAACGCGCCGACAUGUCGCACCGGGAAUGGAUCCAGACCGUGGCCGGGACGCAGUUGGCUUGGGUACGACAUUCCCGCCCCUCCUCCC